rnacentral:piRNA from 1 species
AGCAAGAGUAAGAUAUCAGGUGAAUAA